rnacentral:rRNA from 2 species
UAUAAUGGGUCAGCGACUUAUAUUCUGUAGCAAGGUUAACCGUAUAGGGGAGCCGCAGGGAAACCGAGUCUUAACUGGGCGUUAAGUUGCAGGGUAUAGACCCGAAACCCGGUGAUCUAGCCAUGGGCAGGUUGAAGGUUGGGUAACACUAACUGGAGGACCGAACCGACUAAUGUUGAAAAAUUAGCGGAUGACUUGUGGCUGGGGGUGAAAGGCCAAUCAAACCGGGAGAUAGCUGGUUCUCCCCGAAAGCUAUUUAGGUAGCGCCUCGUGAACUCAUCUUCGGGGGUAGAGCACUGUUUCGGCUAGGGGGUCAUCCCGACUUACCAACCCGAUGCAAACUACGAAUACCGAAGAAUGUUAUCACGGGAGACACACGGCGGGUGCUAACGUCCGUCGUGAAGAGGGAAACAACCCAGACCGCCAGCUAAGGUCCCAAAGUCAUGGUUAAGUGGGAAACGAUGUGGGAAGGCACAGACAGCCAGGAUGUUGGCUUAGAAGCAGCCAUCAUUUAAAGAAAGCGUAAUAGCUCACUGGUCGAGUCGGCCUGCGCGGAAGAUGUAACGGGGCUAAACCAUGCAC